rnacentral:pre_miRNA from 1 species
GUAGUACUCCCUCCGUCCCAAAAUUCUUGUCUUACAUUUGUCUAGAUACGGAUGCAUCUAAUACUAAAACAUGACUUGAUACAUCCGUAUUUAGACAAAUUUAAGACAAGAAUUUUGGGACGGAGGGAGUAGUAC